AGUCUUAGAUUCCAUCACCUUGGCCUGCACAGCUGAGUGUGGUAACGAGUGCUGAAAGGCAAUCUGAGGAUGGUGAUCGGGUAUUAAAUGUGGACAGAUGCUGCCCAGAGGUGUAUCACAUACAUGCAGUCCUGAGGUGACCAGAAGGGGGCAUCGGAUACCUUGGAACUGGAGUUAUAGUCUGUUUUCCCGUCACCCAGUGUGGAUGCUGGGAACUGAACUCAGGUCCUCUGCAAGAUCAACUCAAACUGCCUCCUGGAUUUCUUUUCAACCUUCUAAGGCCACUGUACUAUUCACCCGGGUGUGAGAACAACAAACCAAGACAAGAGCCUAGCAUAACUCCUCUGAGAAAAUUCACCCAGCAUCUGAUGGAAACAAAUGCAGAGACCCACAAUUGAUGGAACAAUUGAGGGAGCUGGAGAGAUCAAGGACUCCAUCAGAAAACCUACAGAAUCAGCUAACCUGGGCCCAUGGGGACUCACAGAGACUGAACCACCAACUAAAGAGCAUGUACGGACUGGUCCUAGGUCCCUGUUCACAUAUGUAGAUGCACAGCUUGGUCUUUAUGUGGAUCCCCUAACAACUGGAGCAGGGACUUCAUUUACUCCAAUGCCUGCCUUUGGAUCCUGUUUCUGGUCUGCCUUGUCUGGCCUCAGUGGGAGAGGAUGCACUUACUUUUGCAGCGAUUUAACAUGCCAAGGCAUGUUGGUACCCAUGAGGGACCUCUUCCUUCUCUGAGAAGAAGAGGAGAGAAUGGGGACAAGGGGUAUGUGAGGGGGGCGGUCUGGGAGACGAGAAGGAGGCUACAAUUAAGAUGUAAACUGAAUAAAUAAAUACAUUUUUAAA